GUGUUCUCUGUAGGAACAAGAAAUUGAUGGAAGAAUUUUAAAUUUAAGGCUUAACUCUGUAAUGCAUAUGCAGGCAUAAUUUGGACACCCCAAAAAAACCUUGUUGACUUAAUUAUUUAUUUUGUGUCUGGUUUCUAAUGCGCUCACCAAAAGAGCAUUGCUCAGUCCAGCUGCUCUGAGGUUUUUGAUACCCAUCUGACUCAGAGGCAGAGCUUCAAACCACAGUGUUCAGUACAGAGACAUCAGAUGUUUUCACAGUGCAAAGGACACAGGAGUGAAAAGCAUUUACUUGGUUAGCAGGCAUAACACAGAGAGGACACUUAGCAGUUUGCAACCACCCAUACCUAGGAUUCUUAAACUAUGCUCUUUCUUCUUUCUUUUCCAUUUGAACUCUUUUUUUUUUUCCCCAGAGAUGUAAAGGACAAACUUGAGAAGCCACCUCUGCUGCAGGUACUUUCCAUGUUUCUGAGUGAGCAGGCCAAGAAAAACAGCAAACGAAGAGCUGGGUUCCUCCCGUGUCACCAGCAUCACCAUGGUCAGAGCAAAAACUGCUAAGAAAGCAACACAGGCUGAGGAGGAAUUUGUCCGGCGUGUGGUCAGAGGCAAAGACACUGAGAACUGGAUCAUCUGCCUUCAUUUAUUAUACUGCAACACAGGAACAGCCACGGGACCUGAAAACUGUGGCCAGUUAGGACACACUGAAAAUCCAUACCCUGGAAACAAAAGGUAUGUCUGCUCUAUCAGUCAGUCAAGUACAAGUCUGAAUCGCUUUUAAAACUAAACACAUGCAUGAUGCAUUAACAUAUGCAUCCUGUGGUGGACAGAAACUUUGAGGCUCUGAGCUUGCUGGACAGAACAAGGGUGGUGUGAUCACCAAAGCCCAGCUUAGCUGCUGUACGCUCACUGUAGGGAGCAGGGGUGUGCAGCCAAAUAAAUGUAGUCUCUGACUCCAAGGGAUGUAGAUAUAUUGAGCCAGUAGGACUUCUAGGGGUAGAGGGAAUGGGAGGGUGGGCAGAGA